rnacentral:rRNA from 1 species
CUGGUUGAUCCUGCCAGUAGCAUAUGCUUGUCUCAGAGAUUAAGCCAUGCAUGUCUAAGUAUAAACAACUUUGUACUGUAAAACUGCGGACGGCUCAUUAAAUCAGUUAUAAUCUACUUGAUCGUAUCUUCUAGUCGGAUAACCUUAGUAAUUCUAAAGCUAAUACGUGCAAAAAUCCGUGACUCUUAGCAAUAGGGGAAGCGGUGACUUUAUUAGAAACUAAAACCACUCACCUUCGGGUGUUUGUGAUGACUCAUGAUAACGUAUCAAAUCGCGGGCCAUAGCCUGUGAUAAUACAAACGAGUUUCUGACCUAUCAACUUUAGAUGGCAUAGUAGAGGUGUGCCAUGGUAACAACGGGUGACGGGGAAUUAGGGUUCGAUUCCGGAGAGGGAGCCUGAGAAACGGCUACCACUUCCAAGGAAGGCAGCAGGCGCGCAAAUUACCCAAUACUGAUUCGGUGAGGUAGUGACAAGAAAUACCAAUGUAGGACCCAACGGGUACUACGUUUGGAAUGAGUACAAUUUAAAAACCUUAACAAGGAACAAUUGGAGGGCAAGUCUGGU